UGCAUGUCUAAGUAUAAGCAAUUAUACAGCGAAACUGCGAAUGGCUCAUUAUAUAAGUUAUCGUUUAUUUGAUAGUGCCUUACUACUUGGAUAACCGUGGUAAUUCUAGAGCUAAUACAUGCUGAAAGCCCCGACUCACGGAGGGGCGUAUUUAUUAGAUUAAAAACCAAUGCCCUUCGGGGCUCCUUGGUGAUUCAUGAUAACUUCUCGAAUCGCACGGCCUUGCGCCGGCGAUGGUUCAUUCAAAUUUCUUCCCUAUCAACUUUCGAUGUUUGGGUAGUGGCCAAACAUGGUGGCAACGGGUAACGGAGGGUUAGGGCUCGACCCCGGAGAAGGAGCCUGAGAAACGGCUCCUACAUCCAAGGAAGGCAGCAGGCGCGCAAAUUACCCAAUCCCGACUCGGGGAGGUAGUGACAAUAAAUACUGAUGCAGGGCUCUUUAGGGUCUUGCAAUUGGAAUGAGUACAAUUUAAAUCCCUUAACGAGGAACAAUUGGAGGGCAAGUCUGGUGCCAGCAGCCGCGGUAACUCCAGCUCCAAUAGCGUAUAUUAAAGUUGUUGUGGUUAAAAAGCUCGUAGUUGAACCUUGGGCCUGGCCGUCCGGUCCGCCUCACCGCGUGCACUGGCACGGCCGGGCCUUCCCACCGCGGAAUCGCAUGCCCUUUACUGGGCGUGUCGGGGAAGCGGUACUUUUACUGUGAAAAAAUUAGAGUGCUCUAAGCAGGCCUAUGCUCGAAUACAUUAGCAUGGAAUAAUAGAAUAGGACAGGCGUUCUAUUUUGUUGGUUUCUAGGACGUCUGUAAUGAUUAACAGAAACAAUCGGGGGCGUCAGUAUUGCAUCGUCAGAGGUGAAAUUCUUAGAUCGACGCAAGACUAACUACUGCGAAAGCAUUCGCCAAGGGUGUUUUCAUUAAUCAGGAACGAAAGUUAGGGGAUCGAAGACGAUCAGAUACCGUCGUAGUCUUAACCAUAAACUAUGCCGACUAGGGAUCGGGCGGUGUUAAUUUUUGACCCGCUCGGCACCUUACGAGAAAUCUUAAGUGCUUGGGCUCCAGGGGGAG
rnacentral:rRNA from 1 species